AUUGAACGCUGGCGGCAGGCCUAACACAUGCAAGUCGAGCGGCAGCGGGAAAGUAGCUUGCUACUUUUGCCGGCGAGCGGCGGACGGGUGAGUAAUGCCUGGGAAAUUGCCCAGUCGAGGGGGAUAACAGUUGGAAACGACUGCUAAUACCGCAUACGCCCUACGGGGGAAAGCAGGGGACCUUCGGGCCUUGCGCGAUUGGAUAUGCCCAGGUGGGAUUAGCUAGUUGGUGAGGGAAUGGCUCACCAAGGCGACGAUCCCUAGCAGGGCUGAGAGGAUGAUCAGCCACACUGGAACUGAGACACGGUCCAGACUCAUACGGGAGGCAGCAGUGGGGAAUAUUGCACAAUGGGGGAAACCCUGAUGCAGCCAUGCCGCGUGUGUGAAGAAGGCCUUCGGGUUGUAAAGCACUUUCAGCGAGGAGGAAAGGUUGAUGCCUAAUACGUAUCAACUGUGACGUUACUCGCAGAAGAAGCACCGGCUAACUCCGUGCCAGCAGCCGCCGUAAAAC
rnacentral:rRNA from 1 species